rnacentral:rRNA from 1 species
UACGAAGGGGGCUAGCGUGGCUCGGAAUCACUGGGCGUAAAGGGUGCGUAGGCGGGUUUUUAAGUCAGAGGUGAAAUCCUGGAGCUCAACUCCAGAACUGCCUUUGAUACUGAAAGUCUUGAGUAUGGGAGAGGUGAGUGGAACUGCGAGUGUAGAGGUGAAAUUCGUAGAUAUUCGCAAGAACACCAGUGGCGAAGGCGGCUCACUGGCCCGAUACUGACGCUGAGGCACGAAAGCGUGGGGAGCAAACAGG